AGCGAACGCUGGCGGCGGGCCUAACACAUGCAAGUCGAACGAAGUCUUCGGACUUAGUGGCGGACGGGUGAGUAACACGUGGGAACGUGCCUUUAGGUUCGGAAUGACUCAGGGAAACUUGUGCUAAUACCGAAUGUGCCCUUCGGGAGAAAGAUUUAUCGCCUUUAGAGCGGCCCGCGUCUGAUUAGCUAGUUGGUGAGGUAAAGGCUCACCAAGGCGACGAUCAGUAGCUGGUCUGAGAGGAUGAUCAGCCGCAUUGGGACUGAGACACGGCCCAAACUCCUACGGGAGGCAGCAGUGGGGAAUCUUGCGCAAUGGGCGAAAGCCUGACGCAGCCAUGCCGCGUGAAUGAUGAAGGUCUUAGGAUUGUAAAAUUCUUUCACCGGGGACGAUAAUGACGGUACCCGGAGAAGAAGCCCCGGCUAACUUCGUGCCAGCCGCCGCGGUAACAC
rnacentral:rRNA from 1 species